rnacentral:rRNA from 1 species
GGAUGAACGCUAGCGACAGGCUUAACACAUGCAAGUCGAGGGGCAGCAUAGAAGUAGCAAUACUUGGUGGCGACCGGCGCACGGGUGAGUAACGCGUAUGCAACCUACCUAUCAGAGGGGAAUAACCCGGCGAAAGUCGGACUAAUACCGCAUAAAACAGGGGCACCGCAUGGUGAUAUUUGUUAAAGAAAUUCGCUGAUAGAUGGGCAUGCGUUCCAUUAGGUAGUUGGUGAGGUAACGGCUCACCAAGCCGACGAUGGAUAGGGGAACUGAGAGGUUGGUCCCCCACACUGGUACUGAGACACGGACCAGACUCCUACGGGAGGCAGCAGUGAGGAAUAUUGGUCAAUGGGCGGGAGCCUGAACCAGCCAAGUCGCGUGAAGGAAGAAGGAUCUAUGGUUCGUAAACUUCUUUUGCAGGGGAAUAAAGUGCAGGACGUGUCCUGUUUUGUAUGUACCCUGAGAAUAAGGAUCGGCUAACUCCGUGCCAGCCGCAGC